GCUUAUGGUCUCUUUCAAGCCUCACAUGAGCAGCCCCACCGCUGGGAGCAGCGCCCCCGCAUCCCUCAGGCUCUUAGCCUGCGGUACUGUUUUCUGCCAGAAGAGGCACUGCGGGGCGGCGCCCGCCCAUUCCCACAGCUCCAGGAAGACCCGGGCGGCGGAGGCUUAGCCCCCUCCCCUCCCGCUUCCUCCUCUUCCUCCUGCCGGUCUGAGGGCGGCGGUCUCCGACUCAACACCCUGGGGCUCCGGGUCUUCUCAGCAGCCGCCGCAGCAGCCGCGGCGACGUCACUGUCCUCGCGGCCUGGCACACAGCGCUCAGGCCGCCGAAUGCCCGUGGACGCGCAUCUCUUCCCAGAGUUCCUGCUUCCUGGGCCAGCCAAAGCCGCAGGGGCCCUGUGAGCUACAAAGUAGCUGAGCUGGUGCAGUACCUGCUGGUUAAGAACCGGAAGACGGUGGCGAUCAAAAGGGCAGACAUGCUGAAGUAUGUCAUCAAAAGGUACAGGAGCU
rnacentral:lncRNA from 10 species